CAGGGACAUGUGUGANAGUGGACUGUUGAGUUGNUUGGUCAGCAGGAACAUGUGAUGAAGGCCUAGGUCGUUGUGGACAAGUCUUUUUGUUGUGUCCCAGUUGUUUGCAGACAGCACAAGCCUUUUUUCUCCCACCCUUUCUUAAUUCUGAGUCAUUCUUCUUCAACUCCCAAGAUUGCAGUCUUCGUUUUUUCUUGGGCCUUCCUGGC
rnacentral:lncRNA from 1 species